UACGUAGGGACCAAGCGUUGUUCGGAUUUACUGGGCGUAAAGGGCGCGUAGGCGGCCUUCUAAGUCGAACGUGAAAUCCCCGGGCUCAACCCGGGAAUUGCGUCCGAUACUGGAAGGCUUGAAUCCGGGAGAGGGAUGUGGAAUUCCAGGUGUAGCGGUGAAAUGCGCAGAUAUCAGGAGGAACACCGGUGGCGAAGGCGGGUCUCUGGGCAAUAACUGACGCUGAGGAGCGAAAGCGUGGGGAGCGAACAGG
rnacentral:rRNA from 1 species